rnacentral:rRNA from 1 species
AGUGAACGCUGGCGGUAGGCCUAACACAUGCAAGUCGAACGGCAGCACAGUAAGUGCUUGCUCUUACGGGUGGCGAGUGGCGGACGGGUGAGGAAUACAUCGGAAUCUACUUUUUCGCGGGGGAUAACGUAGGGAAACUUACGCUAAUACCGCAUACGACCUACGGGUGAAAGCAGGGGAACUUUUGACCUUGUGCGAUUGUAUGAGCCGAUGUCGGAUUAGCUAGUUGGCGGGGCAAAGGCCCACCAAGGCGACGAUCCGUAGCUGGUCUGAGAGGAUGGUCAGCCACACUGGAACUGAGACACGGUCCAGACUCCUGCGGGAGGCAGCGGUGGGGAAUAUUGGACAAUGGGGGAAAGCCUAAUCCAGCCAUACCGCGUGAGUGAAGAAGGCCUUCGGGUUGUAAAGCCCUUUUGUUGGGAGAGAAAAGCAGCAGGUUAAUACCCCGCUGUUCUGACGGUACCCGAAGAAUAAGCACCGGCUAACUUCGUG